GCAAACUUGGUCAUUUAGAGGAAGUAAAAGUCGUAACAAGGUUUCCGUAGGUGAACCUGCGGAAGGAUCAUUAUUGGAUUAUUAUUCUAUAUAAUCAAUCAUCUAUCCACCCUUUGUGCACAUUCAGUAGGCUUUUGGGGGCAGUUUAGUCACUUCACUUAAGUUGCUUUGCUAGCAGCCCAAGUUGCCUAUGUUUAUUUUAUUUUACACUUUGUUACUUACUUAAGAAUGUUGUUUGAAAUGGAUAUAUAAUAUAAAUUACAACUUUCAACAACGGAUCUCUUGGCUCUCGCAUCGAUGAAGAACGCAGC
rnacentral:misc_RNA from 1 species